rnacentral:rRNA from 1 species
AUGAACGCUGGCGGUAUGCUUAACACAUGCAAGUCGUACGAAGAUUUUUGAUCUUAGUGGCGGACGGGUGAGUAACACGUGAGAAUCUGCCCUUAGGAAGAGGAUAACAGCUGGAAACGGUUGCUAAUACUCUAUACGCCGAGAGGUAAAAGGAUGUAUCCACCUUAGGAAGAGCUCGCGUCUGAUUAGCUUGUUGGUAAGGUAAUGGCUUACCAAGGCGACGAUCAGUAGCUGGUUUGAGAGGACGACCAGCCACACUGGGACUGAGACACGGCCCAGACUCCUACGGGAGGCAGCAGUGGGGAAUUUUCCGCAAUGGGCGAAAGCCUGACGGAGCAAUACCGCGUGAGGGAUGAAAGCCUGUGGGUUGUAAACCUCUUUUCUCAAGGAAGAAGUUCUG